rnacentral:lncRNA from 1 species
AAAUGGUCAGAUAUAGAGAUACACAGAGGUGAGAGUCCAACCACCCACGGGAGUCUGGGCGGCUGCUGUGAGUGGGGAUGGAAACAUCAUCUCUGCAGGGGAGAGGGGGCUUCCUCCUCUCUGCCUGGAUGCUUGGAAACAUGGAAGAACUAUGAAGCCCUGUGAGACUCCAAUUGUCUGGAACAUCGGUGAACAGGAAGGCAGAAGAAAGAGAACAUGAUGAAGAAUCUGCUGGCUCAGACAGCAGUGCCGGGAAGUGUCACGUGCCACUUUCACUCACAUUUUAUGACUGAAGCAUGACUUGGCAGUAUGAAUUCAGGAAAUUGGUGAAGUACAAUUCUACUAAGGAAGGAUGCUGAAAAGAGCUGGAGAUGCUAAUCUGUAAAAUGAGAAACAGCGAAACUAAGCCUCCAUUAGAGUAUGUACAAAUUUGCAUCUUUAAAGCAGAAAUAAAAUCCUAGAAAUUUGUGCAUGCAUAUUGUCCCCCAACUACAC